rnacentral:hammerhead_ribozyme from 1 species
GUGCUGAUGAAGAGUCCCACAAUAGGACGAAACGGUUGUCCAGUGC